GCAAGAGUCGAUGCCCCAGUAGCUCAGUGGUAGAGCUCCUUUAUAUGGUAAGCGAAAACACCUAGCAAUAACUGUCAGGUGGUCGCAGGUUCGAAUCCUACCCUGUGGCUA
rnacentral:tRNA from 1 species